rnacentral:rRNA from 1 species
GGUAUGUAAAGCUCUAUCAGCAGGGAAGAUAAUGACGGUACCUGACUAAGAAGCUCCGGCUAAAUACGUGCCAGCAGCCGCGGUAAUACGUAUGGAGCAAGCGUUAUCCGGAUUUACUGGGUGUAAAGGGUGCGUAGGUGGCAGUGCAAGUCAGAUGUGAAAGGCCGGGGCUCAACCCCGGAGCUGCAUUUGAAACUGCAUAGCUAGAGUACAGGAGAGGCAGGCGGAAUUCCUAGUGUAGCGGUGAAAUGCGUAGAUAUUAGGAGGAACACCAGUGGCGAAGGCGGCCUGCUGGACUGUUACUGACACUGAGGCACGAAAGCGUGGGGAGCAAACAGGAUUAGAUACCCUGGUAGUCCCACGCCGUAAACGCAUGAAUACUAGGUGUCGGGGCCGUAUAGGCUUCGGUGCCGCCGCUAACGCAGUAAGUAUUCCACCUGGGGAGUA